GGGGGGAUUUGAACCCAGGUCUUCCAGAUCCUAAUCUAACCCUGCCCCUGUGACUUUGAGUAAUCCUUAUGACAAUGCUGUAAGAUAUUUUGAGUAAUCCUUAUAACAAUACUGUAAGAUGAUCUGGCCUGGUUAUCCCCAUAUCACAGAUGGAAGAACUGAGAGCAAGGCUUGCCUGAGGGCCGUUGAUGGCGUUCCUCCAAAUGCAGCAGCGGGGAACAUUAAUUGAUUUAUAAAGGAUGUCCUGACAACGACCCUGUGAGGUAGGUUCGGCUGAGAGAGACGGCGACUGACCCAAGGUCACCAAGAGCACAGGUGUAGAACCUCAGGCCUGGUGACUGAAGGUGAUCCUCAGGACUCCCCAGCUCUGUGAGUAUUUUUGCCAGGCUGGCAUGUCUGAUCAUGCGUCUUGCUUGUCGAGAUGGAGGGCAGAGGGAGAGGGGUAGAAACUAAACUGCUUGGACAAGGGUAACAUUUACAUAUGUUGCUCUGCCCACCUUUGCCUCUAGCCCCGCCUACUACUGGCAUGCGGCCCUCAGAAGGGAAUGCGGCCCUUGGGCUGAAAAAGGCUCCCCCACUCCAGCAUUACAGGGAAUUUGGGUGUGUUCUAGUUACCACACUCUGUUCACGCAAGGGAUGUGGGACAGUCAAAUAUCCCCUCCACCAGAAGAGGGCAGGUGGAGCACCGCCCACCCUAAUCCCCCUAAAACCCCAAACCUAUAGCUCAGUCCCUUCUCUGUUCCUUACAUUCAUAUUCUACAGUACAUCACAUUUAAAGAGACACUGGACUUGUUUCUGUCCAUCUUCUGCUCUGGCCAAUCAUCUCUGGAUAGCACAGCCAACCACAGUCUUUGCUAUGGUCCCACCCCAUCUCCAGGCUUUAUAAUAAAUUGUGGUAUAGAGAGGGCAGGGGUCCCCUCUGCACCUCCAGUUUGAGUUUAUUUCCCAUAGAAUAAACUAGCCAAUCAGGAGUCCCUCAGAAAUACAUUGGAAAUCCCAUAGCAUUAAGGCAGGGCUAUGAAGAGCCUCUCCAGCCACUCAGAGGUGCGCAUUUCUAUCUGAGCCAAUCGGAUGCAGGCAUGUGCAAACUGUGGAUAUUCCCUGAGGCUGAGUUACUUCCCUGUCCUUUAAGGAAGCAGCAAGCAUAAACUUUUCAUGUUUGUGACCAACCAGCCUCCCGGUCUUUGAAAUCAGCAAUUUAUCUCUCAAUUUGCUAACUCUGAAGCUCCCAUGAUCCCCCACCAGAGAGCACAGCCAAUGGUCAGGGGUGAUGGAAAAGGAGAGUUCAGCGACAUCCCGAGGGCAAUCAGAAUAUCAAAAUAGCCUUGCAGCAGCUGGAUCAGAGGGGGAUUGGCUUGAGCUCUCUCCACUGCUGCUGUUGCUGCCGCCAGAUGAUGCGAUUUGCUGCCCCCGAAGCUCGUCACGCUCUGCCUGCAGGAUCUGGGCCAUCAGCAGGCAUGCGGCCUCUUGAGCCCGUGCAUGCAUUUCUGGACCUAUCGCGUGGCUGGAGAAUUGCUCUGCGAAAUUCAGAGAAGUGCCCAUUUCAAAGGAUGGCUGCUUUUCGGUUCAUGAAUCGUUUUUGGACAGUGUGGAUGAGUGUCGCCGAGAGGAGUUGGUUGAGGCCUCGGAGCUUCUCGAUGGAUCUGAGGGACAAGCAGACAGCCGUUGUCAUUUUGCCAGCACCGCGACUCCCUCUAAUACCGAACUCGGGUGGUCCCAUCAGCCCUGACCAUUGGCCAUGCUGGUUGCUGGGGGAAGAUGGGAGUUGGGAGUCCAACAACCACGCUGGAUGUCCCUGUGUGAAGACGUUUAAAAGAGAAGAGCCAAUUGCGUAAGCAUCAGAAGAGGAACAUCCGGAACGAAAAUACAACGAUCCCAUGAAAACGUUAAAAGAUCAACAUCCAGAGUUAAAAUGUGCAAUUCCUGGAUACCAAAAUUUACCUGAAAUCCCCACAACGCUUUCUCGCUGACUGGGCUGGUGGAUCCGUGCAGAGGUGUCUCCAUCUUAGAGAGGGCACUGUGAAGCUGUUUGACCUGGAUGGAGGCAUGAUGAGUGUUUGCCUUUAACAUUGUGGCAUCAUUGACUCACACAAAAGAGACAGAGGGGGGUGGGAAUGAAUUCACCGAAUGGGAUUCCUUGCAAGAAGGUGUGGUGUCGUGCCUGCUGACAAAGGGAAGCCGCCAAAUGCACAGAGGAGAGGCCUAAGCCAUGAUAGGACUGUACUGCCUCAGAGAAUGCAAAUCUGAAUUAGCCCUAAGCCUCAUUUCAUGGAAGAAAACGUAUGAGUCUAGGCAUUUGGCAAAUCUUUGUCAUACUUCUCUGUGCUGAAUCUGACUAAAUUCUACUCAGAGUAAACCCAAUGAAAUGAAUAGGCCUAAUUUAAUCAUGGCCGUUGAUUUCAAUUGGGUGUACUUGGAUGGAGGAUGAUUAACGUUGAAGACAACUAUCUGUUGUCCAAAUCUGUUAGCAAAUAUUGGUAUUGCCUCUCUAUCGGAGGCCCUCCUUCGAGUGUCCCCUCUGAAAGAGGUGCAGCGAUUGGCAACACGAGAACAGGGCCUUCUCAGUGGUGGCCCUCCAUUUGCGGAACACUGUCCCCAGGAAGGUACACCUGGCACCGUCAUUUUCCAUCUUUAGGCACCAGGCAAAAACAUUUCUCCUAGGCAUUUGGCUCUUAAUUGGAAGGCUUUGGGGGGGCUUCUGUUGUGUUGCUUUCCUAAGAAGGGCUGUUGCACCGCCUUAAGUACUGUUUCUGUUAUUAACUUUAUAUAUAUAUUUUAAUCUUUCACUUUGUUUUUUUUUAUUAUUGUUUUUAUUAACUGUAAGUUGCUUUGAGUGCGCCUAUGUGUGUGGAAAAGCGACACACAUUGAAUAAAUAAAUAAAUCAUUAUGAUAUUGGAAA